CGGCGCGGCGCCCGGUGCGCGGAUCCCGCGGUCAGCCUCCGCGGGCCUCUCGGCGAGUCGCGCCCGGAUCGUCGUCGUCGCCGGCGGUUUUCCCGCCAACCUCUCCGGGACCCCGCUCGCGUCGCGGAAGAGUGUUCGUUCCGUGUGCGGUGCGUCUUGCCCCCCCUUCCCCGCCCGCCAGAGCUGGUGCCACGCGCCGGUACACCUGUGUUUGUUUGUACGCUAUAAACUUUAAAGUUUCGGCCCGUUCAAAUGGAAUCUCCUCACGUCAAAACGAAAUUUCCGUGACUGCACCGAAAGUGAGUGCGCACAUCGAAAGUGAAUCGAUCGACUUAAAGUAUAUUCGCGGCGGAAGUGACGGUCUACCCAGAAUUAAGAAUCUUGACCGGAACUGACACAUCGAGGUCAUCGACCAAGAGAUAAAUAAUUUACUGGAUUCAAUGGUCCUGAACGGAACUGGAUCUCUCUACAGGGUGUGGAAUGCUAAGGCCCUAGGACAAGAGUUAGACCCUUGGCCGCAAGUGCGACUUGACCUGAAGUGAAACAUCGAUAUCUUGAUCGAAAGUUAAGUGAUCGAUUAAAAGUGACUUCUCAACUAAUGUGAGACUUAUAAAUUCGGACAGAAGUUAUAAUUUCAACCGGAACAUCGAUGACCUUGUCCGAAAAAGGAAAGAUCGACUGAAAGUGAACCCUCGGCCGGAAGUGGGACUCUGGUAUCUUCUCCCGGAAGUGAGACAACCGGAAAGUAGCCCUUUAACCGGAAGUGAAGUCCUCAACACUCAGCCCGAAGUGAAACAUUGAGAUCCCCGUCCGGAUGCGAAUAGAUAGACCGACAGUGAAUUCUUGACCAGAGGUGAGACCCUGUCAAUACUUGGACGAAAUGAGACUCUUUACCGGAAAGUAGCCCCUUAACCGGAAGUGAAACAUCGAGAUUCCUUUCCCAAAGUGAAUAGAUCGACUCAAAGUGAACAGAUCGAGUUAACCUCGGACGGAAAUGAGAAUCUCAACCGGAAAUUAGCCCCUUAAUUGGAAGUAGACAUUGAGAUCUCCGUCUCAAAGUGAAUAAAUCGACCAAUAGUGAAUUCUGGACCAGAGGCGAGACUCUUGUCAAUACUAAGACGGAAAUGAGACUCUUUACCGGAAAGUUGCCCCUUAACCGGAAGUGGAACAUCGAGAUUCCUUUUCGAAAGUGAAUAGAUCGACUCAAAGUAAAUAGAUCGAGUUAACCUCGGACGGAAAUGAGACUCUCAACCGGAUGUUAGCCCCUUAAUCGAAAGUUGACAUUUAGAUCUCCGUCUUAAAGUGAAUAAAUCGACUAAGAGUGAAUUCUGGACCAGAGGCGAGACUGCUAACUUUGAACGGUAGUGAUAUCUAUAAGCGGA
rnacentral:lncRNA from 1 species